UACGUAGGGGGGCAAGCGUUUGUCCGGAAUUACUGGGCGUAAAGGGCGCGUAGGUGGCCUUCUUAGUCAGACGUGAAAUCCCCAGGCUUAACCUGGGAACUGCGUCUGAUACUGGAAGGCUUGAGUUCGGGAGAGGAAUGUGGAAUUCCCAGUGUAGAGGUGAAAUUCGUAGAUAUUGGGAAGAACACCGGUGGCGAAGGCGGCCAACUGGACCACAACUGACGCUGAGGCGCGAAAGCGUGGGGGAGCAAACAGG
rnacentral:rRNA from 1 species